UGGGGAAUAUUGGACAAUGGGGGAAACCCUGAUCCAGCAAUGCCGCGUGAGUGAAGAAGGCCUUAGGGUUGUAAAGCUCUUUCGCCCGCGAAGAUAAUGACGGUAGCGGGAGAAGAAGCCCCGGCUAACUCCGUGCCAGCAGCCGCGGUAAUACGGAGGGGGCUAGCGUUGUUCGGAAUUACUGGGCGUAAAGCGUACGUAGGCGGAUGCGCAAGUUGGGGGUGAAAUCCCGGGGCUUAACCUCGGAAUUGCCCUCAAAACUGCACGUCUUGAGACCGAGAGCGGUAAGGGGAAUUCCUAGUGUAGAGGUGAAAUUCGUAGAGAUUAGGAAGAACACCAGUGGCGAAGGCGCCUUACUGGCUCGGUACUGACGCUGAGGUACGAAAGCGUGGGGAGCAAACA
rnacentral:rRNA from 1 species